rnacentral:rRNA from 1 species
AUUGAACGCUGGCGGCAUGCUUGACACAUGCAAGUCGAACGGUAACAGGGUGCUUGCACCGCUGACGAGUGGCGAACGGGUGAGUAAUGCGUCGGAACGUGCCGAGUAGUGGGGGAUAACGCAGCGAAAGUUGUGCUAAUACCGCAUACGUACUGAGGUAGAAAGUGGGGGACCUUCGGGCCUCACGCUAUUCGAGCGGCCGACGUCUGAUUAGCUAGUAGGUGAGGUAAAGGCUCACCUAGGCGACGAUCAGUAGCGGGCCUGAGAGGAUGAUCCGCCACACUGGGACUGAGACACGGCCCAGACUCCUACGGGAGGCAGCAGUGGGGAAUUUUGGACAAUGGGCGAAAGCCUGAUCCAGCCAUGCCGCGUGUCUGAAGAAGGCCUUCGGGUUGUAAAGGACUUUUGUCAGGGAGGAAAUCCCUAGCGUUAAUACCGCUGGGGGAUGACAGUACCUGAAGAAUAAGCACCGGCUAACUCUGUGCCAGCCGCCGCAGUAACAC